rnacentral:misc_RNA from 1 species
CAAGAACAUCUAAGUAAUCAUGUAAAGUUUGGGUCUAUUUCAUGUUUUUCAAUUCAGCUAAGGGGUCAUCAAACCCCUAUGUCCCAAACCUAGCCCUCAAAGCCCUUACAUACUUUGCCCAAUCAUUAUAAACAGUAGGACCUUUUACAAUCAUAUAACCCUGAUGCCAUAGAAUUGCUUUUCCCUCCAAAUGAAGAACAACAAGUUUAACUCUACUCUUAGUAGAUACAUUGACCACUUCAAAAUAAUACUCAGUUUUCAACAACCAUGACUCUAAUUCACUUCCAUCAAAACAAGGAAAAUCCAAUUUAAAAUUAGGCCAAAAAGAAUUAGGUCUAUUAUUGUUACCUAAAGUUCCAACAAUUGAUCCUCUAUUAGCUGCAACUUCAUUGUUCUGCAAACUCAAGCUAACUAUCAAAGAUUUAAGCUCCAAGAUGGCCUAAGUAUUGCGAGUUUCUAAUUCUUGCUACCAAACCACUUGCCUCUGUUCCCAUCAUUGAUCUAACUCACGUAACAUCAAAGAAACCUCUUUUUUCCAAUUAUGAGACCUUGUUUCUUCAGCCAUGGCCCAGGAUCGAGAGCUUUGAUACUAAAUGAUGUGUUACAGUUUAGAAAGAAGAAUUUAAAGAGAGGAGAGAAUAAGAUAAGAACUCAGAGAGAAGAAGAAAG